GAGCACUGCCAACUUUGAAGCGGCGCGACAUUUUCGACGCCAAAUACUAAACUGCAGUUCAGCGGCCAGCCGCGACGCUUUCCCGUUUGACAGCUACGAGUUCCGGGAAAAAACUUACACCACCCAUUCAAGAAGAGUCAAACAGAUAGCUUUAUUUCUAUUCUUCGUGAUUAAAACUAUAUCUACCUAUUUAAACUACAAUUGAAAAAAACUACCUAACCUAAGCUAAAACUAUUGCCGAACCAAGUGCAGUGAAACAAACGAACGAUAACCAGACAGUGGCACGUAAACAGCUAGUUUUCAGUGAGACCUUUUCGGAUUCAUCCGGCCCAGUGUAGAGCAUAGUACUGUGCUAAACAACAACGUGUUCCAUCCAGCGCUUUCUAGCUCGACUAUUGUUCCGGCUCUUCCAGCCUAGUUCAUAGAACUUAGCCUUCUCAAGCCGCAUCCGAGUAACAGCUCGUGAAUCGUUUCGGCUCAUCCAGCCAAGUUUAUCGAACUUAGCCUUCUCAAGCCGCGUCCGAGUAACAGCUCGUGAAUAGUUCCGGCUCCUCCAGCCAAGUUCCGAGAACUUUGCUCUAUCAAGCCGUGUAACACUAUCAGCCUUGGUCAGCUUUGCCUAGAAUCGUUCCGGUUGUAGGGAAAUCGACUCGAAACACUGAUUUUCUUGAAGCUGCUUUGCUAUCAAGACCGGUGUCCUUUUCCCCUCCUCCCCUACAUACAACU